AUUGAACGCUGGCGGCAGGCUUAACACAUGCAAGUCGAGCGGGGUGAUGGUGCUUGCACUAUCACUUAGCGGCGGACGGGUGAGUAAUGCUUAGGAAUCUGCCUAUUAGUGGGGGACAACAUCUCGAAAGGGAUGCUAAUACCGCAUACGUCCUACGGGGGAAAGCAGGGGAUCACUUGUGACCUUGCGCUAAUAGAUGAGCCUAAGUCGGAUUAGCUAGUUGGUGGGGUAAAGGCCUACCAAGGCGACGAUCUGUAGCGGGUCUGAGAGGAUGAUCCGCCACACUGGGACGGAGACACGGCCCAGACUCCUACGGGAGGCAGCAGUGGGGAACAUUGGACAAUGGGGGGAACCCUGAUCCAGCCAUGCCGCGUGUGUGAAGAAGGCCUUAUGGUUGUAAAGCACUUUAAGCGAGGAGGAGGCUCUUUUGGUUAAUACCCAAGAUGAGUGGACGUUACUCGCAGAAUAAGCACCGGCUAACUCUGUGCCAGCCGCCGCCGUAA
rnacentral:rRNA from 1 species